rnacentral:rRNA from 1 species
GAUGAACGCUGGCGGCGUGCCUAAUACAUGCAAGUCGAGCGAACGGACGAGAAGCUUGCUUUUCUGAUGUUAGCGGCGGACGGGUGAGUAACACGUGGAUAACCUACCUAUAAGACUGGGAUAACUUCGGGAAACCGGAUCUAAUACCGGAUAAUAUUUUGAACCGCAUGGUUCAAAAGUGAAAGACGGUCUUGCUGUCACUUUUAGAUGGAUCCGCGCUGCAUUAGCUAGUUGGUAAGGUAACGGCUUACCAAGGCAACGAUGCAUAGCCGACCUGAGAGGGUGAUCGGCCACACUGGAACUGAGACACGGUCCAGACUCCUACGGGAGGCAGCAGUAGGGAAUCUUCCGCAAUGGGCGAAAGCCUGACGGAGCAACGCCGCGUGAGUGAUGAAGGUCUUCGGAUCGUAAAACUCUGUUAUUAGGGAAGAACAUAUGUGUAAGUAACUGUGCACAUCUUGACGGUACCUAAUCAGAAAGCCACGGCUAACUACGUG